CGCGUAGGCGGUCAGCACAAGUCAGUUGUGAAAUCUCCGGGCUUAACUCGGAAAGGUCAACUGAUACUGUGCGACUAGAGUGCAGAAGGGGCAACUGGAAUUCUCGGUGUAGCGGUGAAAUGCGUAGAUAUCGAGAGGAACACCUGCGGCGAAGGCGGGUUGCUGGGCUGACACUGACGCUGAAGUGCGAAAGCCAGGGGAGCGGAACG
rnacentral:rRNA from 1 species